rnacentral:rRNA from 1 species
UAUGAGGGCCUAAAUACUCUAUUGUCACUCGAGCCUGUCUGAUCUUGGAAGUUAAGCAGGGUCAGCAGUGGUUAGCACUUGGAUGGGAGCCCACCAAGGAAUACCUGGAGCUGUAGGCU